rnacentral:tRNA from 1 species
GGAGGGGUGAUGGCUCUAUGGUAGAGCACCUGUUUGGCAUGCAAAAGGUCCUGGGUUCAAUUCACAGCAUCUCCA